rnacentral:rRNA from 1 species
GACAGAGGAUGCAAGCGUUAUCCGGAAUGAUUGGGCGUAAAGCGUCUGUAGGUGGCUUUUUAAGUCCGCCGUCAAAUCCCAGGGCUCAACCCUGGACAGGCGGUGGAAACUACCAAGCUGGAGUACGGUAGGGGCGGAGGGAAUUUCCGGUGGAGCGGUGAAAUGCGCAGAUAUCAGGAGGAACACCGAUGGCGAAGGCAGGUCUCUGGGCAUUAACUGACGCUGAGGAGCGAAAGCGUGGGGAGCGAACAGG